rnacentral:tRNA from 4 species
GGCUGGGUAGCUCAGCUGGUUAGAGCGCACGACUCAUAAUCGUGAGGUCGAGAGUUCAAGUCUCUCUCCCGCCACCA